CCCUUAGAUGUCCUGGGCCGCACGCGCGUUACACUGAUGCAUUCAACGAGCUUAUAACCUUGGCCGAGAGGCCUGGGCAAUCUUGUUAACGUGCAUCGUGAUAGGGAUAGAUUAUUGAAAUUAUUAAUCUUGAACGAGGAACUCCUAGUAAACGCAGAUCAUCAAUCUGCAUUGAUUACGUCCCUGCCCUUUGUACACACCGCCCGUCGCACCUACCGAUUGGAUGGUCCGGUGAAGCCUCGGGAUUGUGGUUCUUGCCGCUUUAUUGUGGCGUGACCGCGAGAACUUGUCUAAACCUUAUCAUCUAGAGGAAGGUGAAGUCGUAACA
rnacentral:rRNA from 1 species